AUUGAACGCUGGCGGCAGGCUUUACACAUGCAAGUCGCACGAGCGGCGGACGGGUGAGUAAUCUAUGGGAACUGCCCAGUAGCGGGGGAUAACUACUCGAAAGGGUGGCUAAUACCGCAUACUCUCGGAUACCCCAUCUGGGAUUCGCUAGUAGGUGAGGUAACGGCGCACCUAGGCGACGAUCCCUAGCUGGUCUGAGAGGAUGAUCAGCCACACGGGGACUGAUACACGGCCCAGACUCCGACGGAGGGAGCAGUGGGUAAAAGUGCACAAUGGGUGAAACCCGGAUCCAGGCAUCCCGCGUGUAUGAAGAAGGCCUUAGGGUUGUAAAGGACGUUUGGCAGAGAAUCGUUACCUGCAUAAUAAGCACCGGCUAACUCCGUGCCAGCAGCCGCGGUAAUAC
rnacentral:rRNA from 1 species